CCUACGGGUGGCAGCAGUGGGGAAUAUUGGACAAUGGGCGAAAGCCUGAUCCAGCCAUGCCGCGUGUGUGAAGAAGGCCUUCGGGUUGUAAAGCACUUUCAGUGGGGAAGAAAGCCUUGGGGCUAAUACCCUCGAGGAAGGACAUCACCCACAGAAGAAGCACCGGCUAACUCCGUGCCAGCAGCCGCGGUAAUACGGAGGGUGCGAGCGUUAAUCGGAAUUACUGGACGUAAAGCGCGCGUAGGCGGUCUGAUAAGCCGGUUGUGAAAGCCCCGGGCUCAACCUGGGAACGGCAUCCGGAACUGUCAGGCUAGAGUGCAGGAGAGGAAGGUAGAAUUCCCGGUGUAGCGGUGAAAUGCGUAGAGAUCGGGAGGAAUACCAGUGGCGAAGGCGGCCUUCUGGACUGACACUGACGCUGAGGUGCGAAAGCGUGGGUAGCAAACAGGAUUAGAUACCCCGGUAGUC
rnacentral:rRNA from 1 species